AACAUCCCAAAUUUUCAAUUUGAAAUGUUAUAUUAAAGCAUGAGCAUCUUGCAUAAUUUGUUCAUCAUUUGAAUAAUUGUAAUUUGCAUUUUAGUAUUUAACAGAACAAUAGAUUAUAUAAACCGAAAUUACAUUUUUGGUAACUUAGUUAUGUCCAUAAGGCAUCUAAUAUAAGUAAGUGCAUGCAAACUAAUUUUUUUUACUUUUUUUUUAAGUUCGGAGUAUACUUAUACUAGACUCCAAAUAAUAAAUAUGUUAUGCGAAAAUUAUUAUUUUAUGUUUCGUUUAACUUUCCUACACAUUUAGAACAUUAUUAGUAAUCCUAAUCUAAUUAGCUCACGGCCCACUCUUAAUUCCUAAGCCACAUAUGCAAGCAACGCUAGGAGUUGGACCUACAGGCAUACGGGCUACGUCUCAACACAUGCAGCACCGGCCCAGGUCCUCUUCACCAUUUUUUUCUCUCUCUUUCCGUUUUCUUCAAUCUCCUCACGACCCGACCUGGUCGUUCGUCCCUAACCUCUCGUCCAACGCAGGGAACGAACCAGCGCCCCACUCACCCCACCUGACUCCUCCCCUCCUUCCCCUCGCCUUAAUUCCGCUCUGAACGGAUUCCUCACACCCUCCCUAACUCUUAACCUUCCGUUACCCGCACUAGAACGAGCCCUAAUGGCCAUUAGAGCACCAGAAACAGCAGCUAUAACUCCGACGACGCCCUGCGUCGUUUCGACCUUCCCUGCAUCCUAUAAAUGGUCCCCUCCCCUCACAACUCUCUCCUUGCCCGAACCCCUCUCCUUCGGGAGCUUAUACCCCUACCCAUCGUCGUAAAUUGCUCACCGGAGUUGCCUGACACUGCUGCUGUUCGUGGAAGGUUCCGGCGAGUUCGAGCCGGAGCACGAGUUCUUCGUUGUCUGAUUUCGGCCGGAGUUGCGCCCAACUCCGACGACAUCUAGCAGCCACCUAAAGGCGAACCAGGAGCCGACGUCGUGUCCUGGAGACUCACCCAGACUUCCUCUCCCUCGUCCACUUCUCGACCAUUGCCGGAGACCGCCGCAUCGCUUCGCGUCCGAGCCACCGUCACCGGGCAUCUCCAUCUCCGAUUGCGACGAGUGCGAAGGCGAAUUCUAUGAGGAGGUAGGACCGUGUUGCUGCGAGUCAGAAG